rnacentral:rRNA from 1 species
GACGAACGCUGGCGGCGUGCUUAACACAUGCAAGUCGAACGGAAAGGCCCUGCUUGCAGGGUACUCGAGUGGCGAACGGGUGAGUAACACGUGGGUGAUCUGCCCUGCACUUCGGGAUAAGCCUGGGAAACUGGGUCUAAUACCGGAUAGGAGCCAUUUUUAGUGUGAUGGUUGGAAAGUUUUUUCGGUGUAGGAUGAGCUCGCGGCCUAUCAGCUUGUUGGUGGGGUAAUGGCCUACCAAGGCGGCGACGGGUAGCCGGCCUGAGAGGGUGGACGGCCACAUUGGGACUGAGAUACGGCCCAGACUCCUACGGGAGGCAGCAGUGGGGAAUAUUGCACAAUGGGCGCAAGCCUGAUGCAGCGACGCCGCGUGGGGGAUGACGGCCCUCGGGUUGUAAACUCCUUUCGCUAGGGACGAAGCUUUUUGUGACGGUACCUAGAUAAGAAGCACCGGCUAACUACGUG